AAGAUGCAGUGUACCCGCGGCAAGACGGAAAGACCCCGUGAACCUUUACUAUAGCUUGACACUGAACAUUGAGCCUUGAUGUGUAGGAUAGGUGGGAGGCUUUGAAGUGUGGACGCCAGUCUGCAUGGAGCCGACCUUGAAAUACCACCCUUUAAUGUUUGAUGUUCUAACGUUGACCCGUAAUCCGGGUUGCGGACAGUGUCUGGUGGGUAGUUUGACUGGGGCGGUCUCCUCCUAAAGAGUAACGGAGGAGCACGAAGGUUGGCUAAUCCUGGUCGGACAUCAGGAGGUUAGUGCAAUGGCAUAAGCCAGCUUGACUGCGAGCGUGACGGCGCGAGCAGGUGCGAAAGCAGGUCAUAGUGAUCCGGUGGUUCUGAAUGGAAGGGCCAUCGCUCAACGGAUAAAAGGUACUCCGGGGAUAACAGGCUGAUACCGCCCAAGAGUUCAUAUCGACGGCGGUGUUUGGCACCUCGAUGUCGGCUCAUCACAUCCUGGGGCUGAAGUAGGUCCCAAGGGUAUGGCUGUUCGCCAUUUAAAGUGGUACGCGAGCUGGGUUUAGAACGUCGUGAGACAGUUCGGUCCCUAUCUGCCGUGGGCGCUGGAGAACUGAGGGGGGCUGCUCCUAGUACGAGAGGACCGGAGUGGACGCAUCACUGGUGUUCGGGUUGUCAUGCCAAUGGCACUGCCCGGUAGCUAAAUGCGGAAGAGAUAAGUGCUGAAAGCAUCUAAGCACGAAACUUGCCCCGAGAUGAGUUC
rnacentral:rRNA from 1 species